UACGUAGGGUGCAAGCGUUGUCCGGAAUUAUUGGGCGUAAAGAGCUCGUAGGCGGUUUGUCGCGUCUGCUGUGAAAACCCGAGACUCAACCUCGGGCCUGCAGUGGGUACGGGCAGACUAGAGUGCGGUAGGGGAGAUUGGAAUUCCUGGUGUAGCGGUGGAAUGCGCAGAUAUCAGGAGGAACACCAAUGGCGAAGGCAGAUCUCUGGGCCGUAACUGACGCUGAGGAGCGAAAGCAUGGGGAGCGAACAGG
rnacentral:rRNA from 1 species